rnacentral:rRNA from 1 species
ACGUCCUGAGGGAGAAAGUGGGGGAUCUUCGGACCUCACGCUAUCAGAUGAGCCUAGGUCGGAUUAGCUAGUUGGUGGGGUAAAGGCCUACCAAGGCGACGAUCCGUAACUGGUCUGAGAGGAUGAUCAGUCACACUGGAACUGAGACACGGUCGAGACUCCUACUGGAGGCAGCAGUGGGGAAUAUUGGACAAUGGGCGAAAGCCUGAUCCAGCCAUGCCGCGUGUGUGAAGAAGGUCUUCGGAUUGUAAAGCACUUUAAGUUGGGAGGAAGGGCAGUAAGUUAAUAGCUUGCUGUUUUGACGUUACCAACAGAAUAAGCACCGGCUAACUUCGUGCCAGCAGCCGCGGUAAUACGAAGGGUGCAAGCGUUAAUCGGAAUUCCUGGGCGUAAAGCGCGCGUAGGUGGUUCAGCAAGUUGGAUGUGAAUUCCCCGGGCUCAACCUGGGAACUGCAUGCAAAACUACUGAGCUAGAGUACGGUAGAGGGUGGUGGAAUUUCCUGUGUAGCGGUGAAAUGCGUAGAUAUAGGAAAGGAACACCAAGUGGCGAAGGCGACCCACCUGGACUGAUACUGUCACUGAGGUGCGAAAGCGUGGGGAGCAAACAGGAUUAGAUACCCUGGUAGUCCACGCCGUAAACGAUGUCGACUAGCCGUUGGGAUCCUUGAGAUCUUAGUGGCGCAGCUAACGCGAUUAGUCGACCGCCUGGGGAGUACGGCCGCAAGGUUAAAACUCAAAUGAAUUGACG